rnacentral:misc_RNA from 1 species
UCUCCGUAGGUGAACCUGCGGAGGGAUCAUUACAGAGUUCUCGCCCUCGCGGGUAGAUCUCCCACCCACUGUUAUCGUUACUGUGUUGCUUUGGCGGGCCGCCGGGCCCCGCUCGGCCGCCGGCUCCGGCUGGCGCGCGCCCGCCAGAGGCCCAGCAAACUCUGAAUGUUAGUGUCGUCUGAGUACUAUAUAAUAGUUAAAACUUUCAACAACGGAUCUCUUGGUUCUGACAUCGAUGAAGAACGCAGC